rnacentral:rRNA from 1 species
AAAGGAAUUGACGGGGGCCCGCACAAGCGGUGGAGCAUGUGGUUUAAUUCGAAGCAACGCGAAGAACCUUACCAGGUCUUGACAUCCUCUGCCAACCCUGGAGACAGGGCGUUCCCCUUCGGGGGACAGAGUGACAGGUGGUGCAUGGUUGUCGUCAGCUCGUGUCGUGAGAUGUUGGGUUAAGUCCCGCAACGAGCGCAACCCUCGGGAUUAGUUGCCAGCAUUCAGUUGGGCACUCUAAUCCGACUGCCGGUGACAAACCGGAGGAAGGUGGGGAUGACGUCAAAUCAUCAUGCCCCUUAUGACCUGGGCUACACACGUGCUACAAUGGGUGGUACAACGGGCUGCGAAACCGCGAGGUGGAGCGAAUCCCUUAAAGCCACUCUCAGUUCGGAUUGCAGGCUGCAACUCGCCUGCAUGAAGCCGGAAUCGCUAGUAAUCGCGGAUCAGAAUGCCGCGGUGAAUACGUUCCCGGGCCUUGUACACACCGCCCGU